CUCCUGUGCCCAUCGCAACAGAAGCCACAUUUUUCCUCAGGAGCCCAUGCCCUUUCAGCUUAGGGGCUGGCGAGAGCCUGAGCCUACGGGAAGCCUGCUCGCAACACUGACAACUUCAUCUACAUUCAAGGAGAACAAACCAGUAAUUAUCUAGUCUUCUUGCUCAAGAUGAAUGCCUGGACAAUGCGCAGGAGGCUAUUGAAGAAAAUGUUUUACCCUUGUUUCAAAUCUUUUUGCAUUUUAUAAGCCUUUCCUGGACUGCAUCCUACUCAGAUCACAUAACCGACAAGAAAGAAGUCUGGGAUGAUGUGGGGCCCCUCAGCACUGAACUUCAGAAGAAGUUGUGGAGGAUUACUUAUGCUUGAAACUGUUUCUGAGCUCUUCGAGGGAAGAUGGAAUUUGAUACAACCCCGAUUCAUUUACUUUCUGUUCCACUGGAUUUUCAGAAUAGCGAUUUUCGUAUUUAUUUAUAAUGUUUAUCAUCGCCCUAAUGCUAAUUUAAUCUCUUUGAAAAAAAAUUCAUCAGGCUGGUAAUAAAUGAUAUGCUGGGAAAUAGGGAAUUGAUAAUACUUAGUGAUUUCAAACACUGACUGAAAUUUGAGUUUAGAUCUACACUUAGGAAUUAUUUAUAUCCUCUUAUGUCAUAUCAAUUUAAAUAAUAUCCCACUCACUGGGGCAUAAAGAAUAAUGUUAAUAUUAAAGUUUCUAUUUAAUAUUUGCUAAUUGCACAUGAAGGGGCUAUAUCAGCUGCAUUUGGAUUUUUUUAUUUAAUUUUAUUGUGUUAGAAAAUCCAUGAGGUUAAGUCUCCAGAAAUUAUUACUUUUAAAUGUUGCAUAAUAAGAAUUUUGCUCCCAUGAUGAGACUUGAAUAAUGUACACUCAAAUAAGCUUUUUCCCGACACAGAGUGAUGGUGGCUAGGGUCCUAGGC
rnacentral:lncRNA from 1 species